rnacentral:rRNA from 1 species
UACGUAGGGGGCUAGCGUUGUCCGGAAUCAUUGGGCGUAAAGAGCGUGUAGGCGGCUCGGUAAGUCUGCUGUGAAAGUCCAGGGCUCAACCCUGGAAUGCCAGUGGAAACUGUCGAGCUAGAGUCCGGAAGAGGCGAGUGGAAUUCCUGGUGUAGCGGUGAAAUGCGCAGAUAUCAGGAGGAACACCAAUGGCGAAGGCAGCUCGCUGGGACGGUACUGACGCUGAGACGCGAAAGCGUGGGGAGCAAACAGG